CCUACGGGAGGCAGCAGUGGGGAAUAUUGCGCAAUGGGCGAAAGCCUGACGCAGCGACGCCGCGUGAGGGAUGAAGGUCUUCGGAUCGUAAACCUCUGUCAGCAGGGAAGCACGGUCACUGUGCUAAUCAGCAGUGAAUUGACGGUACCUGCAAAGGAAGCACCGGCUAACUCCGUGCCAGCAGCCGCGGUAAUACGGAGGGUGCGAGCGUUAAUCGGAAUUACUGGGCGUAAAGCGCUCGUAGGCGGUAUGUCAAGUCAAGGGUGAAAUCCCCGGGCUCAACGUGGGAACUGCCGUUGAAACUGGCAGACUGGAGUGUGUGAGAGGAUAGUGGAAUUCCAGGUGUAGGGGUGAAAUCCGUAGAUAUCGGGAGGAACAUCAGUGGCGAAGGCGACUAUCUGGCACAUAACUGACGCUGAGGAGCGAAAGCGUGGGUAGCGAACAGGAUUAGAUACCCUGGUAGUC
rnacentral:rRNA from 1 species